AGUCACUGACAUUAGAUACCCGGGUAGUCCAGGGUGUAAACGCUGCAGACUUGGUGUUGGAAGUCCUUUGGGGGGCAUUCAGUGCCGGAGAGAAGUUGUUAAGUCUGCUACUUGGGGAGUACGUCCGCAAGGAUGAAACUUAAAGGAAUUGGCGGGGGAGCACCGCAACGGGAGGAGCGUGCGGUUUAAUUGGAUUCAACACCGUAAAACUCACCAGGGAAGACUGUUACAUGAAGGCCGAGAUGAAGACUCUGCUAGAUUUUCAG
rnacentral:rRNA from 1 species